rnacentral:rRNA from 1 species
AUUCUCUCUCUCCGCCGCCCUCAGCACACAACCUCUCCUUUCCUCUUUCUCCUCCGCGGCUCCGCCUGGUGGUGUCUCUCAUCCCACCCAAUCUCCCCUCUCCCUCACUCUUCCAUGGCGUCUAGGGUUGCGGCCGUCAGAAGCGCCGCUGGGAAAAAAUCUUCGGCAGGAAGAGGGCAUCUCCAACUCAAUGACGUUUCAUCGCGUGCUCCGCGACGGUGACGGCUACGGCAAGGGGAGGAGAUGAAUCCAAAGCAGCUCCGGGGCCUCCUGGGGGCCUGACCAAGUUCUCCUCCGUCGCCCCCCUCUCCAUCCUUCUCCUCUCUCAUUCUCUCCCCAUGCUUGUGGCAGUUGCAAGGAGGUAGACGAUGGGGUUCAGCGACCGCACGAGGGCAAGGGCAUCGAGCUCCCUCCUUCUGCUCCCAAUCAUCGGCGUGGGCACCAUCUGCUAGAUCUUCACCACCUUAGCACCGUGGUCCAGCUGAUAUGGUGCCACGGUUCUGCUCGGCAAUUGAAGGAUGGAUAAUAAUUGUCUCAGGAGUCAAAGAAGAUGCAGAAGAAAGUGAUCUCUAUGAUGCUUUUGCUGAGUUUGGUGAGGUCAAGGACUUGCAUUUGAACCUGGAGCGCCGCACUGGAUAUGUCAAGGGAUAUGCAUUGGUUGAAUAUGGAAUUUUUGAGGAAGCACAAACUGCAAACAGAAUAAUGAAUGGGACAGAGCUGUUAACAAAGACUAUCCAUGUUGAUUGGGCAUUCAACAGAGGUGGGCUUCGCUGCCAUGGAAUGACACCUCUGAUCUUCCAUGUAGAUGAGCUCGGGUUCAUGGAAGCCAUGUCCAAGCAAACUGAGUGCUUUGAAGUAUAUUACCCUUGCAAUGUGAUGGAACCAGUAGACAUUAUACCAUUGAGUGCAAUUCCCUAUGGGCAAGCCUUAAAUCAUUAUCUUGAACAGAUAGUUUCACUUUUUCGCGACAGAAUAUAUGCUGUGAAUGAAAUCGGCCUUGAUGACCGCUAUUUAGAAUUUAGGCAAGUGGAAGGAGAUGGGGAGUGUUUCUACAGGAGCUUCAUAUUUUCCUACCUUGAGCAAGUUCUUGAUAGGAAAGACACAAAUGAGGAACGCCGCCUCCUUGCAGCUAUCCAAGAGUUGGCUGAGGAACCUGCACGUUUUGGAUGGGCCUCUGAAUUUUCUAGGAGCCAUGAUGUUAAUGUCAAGGGCUUGAAAGGUGUGAGGGAAGUAAACAUGGAUCUGAUGAUCUUCCCUGCGAGGCGCUACAGAUCAGAUGGGCGCUGUUGUGAAGGCCGCGAAGGCGUGGCAGGUGGCAUGGGACCAAAUAGGGAAGAAAUCUUGCAUGCAGUCUCUCCAAAAGUGACUACUCAAAUGAAUCAUAGUCUAUGUGCGGAAUAUACAAAAGAGGAAGUGAAAGAAGCUCUGUUCAAUAUUGGUGACCUGAAGGCGCCAGGACCAGAUGGAAUGCCUACAAUAUUCUACAAGCAGUUCUCGCAACUGGUGGGCAAUAAGUUAACAGGGGAAGUGCUGAAGUUCCUUCGAGGUGGAGAAAUGCCGGAAGGAUGGAACGGUACCACAGUGGUGUUAAUUCCAAAAAUUUCAAACCCAGAGACCUUGAAGGACCUAAGAACAAUUAGCCUCUGCAAUGUCAUUUACAAGAGAAGGAGAAGGGGUAAGGUAGGAUAUGCUGUUGUAAAGCUCGACAUGAGUAAGGCUUACGGCCGAGUAGAAUGGACAUUCUUGAAGGAAAUGAUGUUAAAAUUGGGGUUUGAUAGUGAAUGGGUAAACCUGGUGAUGAAGUGUGUUGCAACUGGGAGGUACCAGAUCAAAGUUCCAGUUGCUGUGACAACUGUACGUCUGGUUAGGGAGGCUGAGAUUAAACUCAGAAGACCUCGUCUUCACCUUAUUCCCCUUGAGCUAAGGACACCCAGUCCUCGCCCAAUCACUCUGGGGGUGGGCUAUUUAUAG